rnacentral:rRNA from 1 species
GAGUUUGAUCCUGGCUCAGGACGAACGCUGGCGGCGCGCCUAACACAUGCAAGUCGAACGAGCGAGAGAGAGCUUGCUUUCUCGAGCGAGUGGCGGACGGGUGAGUAACGCGUGGGUAACCUGCCUUGUACAGGGGGAUAACAGUUGGAAACGGCUGCUAAUACCGCAUAAGCGCACGAGAGGACAUCCUCUUGUGUGAAAAACUCCGGUGGUACAGGAUGGGCCCGCGUCUGAUUAGCUGGUUGGCAGGGUAACGGCCUACCAAGGCGACGAUCAGUAGCCGGUCUGAGAGGAUGAACGGCCACAUUGGAACUGAGACACGGUCCAAACUCCUACGGGAGGCAGCAGUGGGGAAUAUUGCACAAUGGGGGAAACCCUGAUGCAGCAACGCCGCGUGGAGGAAGAAGGUCUUCGGAUUGUAAACUCCUGUUGUUGAGGAAGAUAAUGACGGUACUCAACAAGGAAGUGACGGCUAACUACGUGCCAGCCGCCGCGGUAAUUC